rnacentral:rRNA from 1 species
GCCUACGGCCAUGCCACCCUGAACAAGCCUGAUCCCAUCUGAUCUCGGAAGCUAAGCAGGGUCCAGCCUGGUUAGUACUUGGAUGGGAGACCACUUAGGAAGACCAGGUGCUGUAGGCA